GCCUUGAAAUUUAUGCUUUUGCUCCCCAAUCUUCUUUGAUCUUGGAAGCUAAGCAGAUUUGAAUCUGGUUAGUACUGGGAUGGGAGACUGCUUUGGAAUAUCAAGUACUGUAGGCU
rnacentral:rRNA from 1 species